UACAUCAGGUAAGCAGAGAAGGUUUUAAAUGAUGCUCUGAAUAUGAGAAGGCACUGAUCAUCACAAACAUUCAGAGACAAAGAGAGGGACAAGACUGGCAGACACUCAAUGGUGAGCAAGAACAGGGAAAAGGAAAGACCUCCCAAAGGCCAGAGGAGUGAAAGAAAGUCUGAAGGCACAGGAGCCCGAGCCCGACAAUGAGAAGGAAUGGAAUGCCUGAGAUCAGUGGGAAGCGCUUAGAUGAUAAGAAACACGGAAGUAAAUGGUCUAAUUUAUGGUCUAAAAAAAACCCUCUGGAUAUCUUUGGGAAAGUGAAUAUGAGAAGCUGAGCAGGCAAGCUGCAAACAGAUGAACAGACCUCUAGGUAGUCACUUGUGGUGAUGCGACACCAGAGAAAAGGAACAGGAGGCAGAAGACAGGAACCAUUCACUGGCAAGUUGUGAUAUGGGGUUUCUCCCAGGCUACGACUCUAGUGAGAUUAAAAGAUAGAAAAGAGCAUUCCCAUUCAAAAGCAUUUAAGAUGAAGAAGAUGAAGCCCAGAAAGGAUGAAUGAUAUGGGCUAUGUGCCUCAUAGGAGGAGCUGAACCCAAACACAAAGUUCCUUACUUUCCAAAUGUCCACCAACUAUGUUGCAAGCAGCCUUUCAUUUUGUACUCCAAGGCACUGAUAACAAUUUUGAGUUAUAGAAGCUCUACCUACUAUGAAAUUGAAUUAAAUUUAAUCUUUACUGGAAAUAUAGGGGUAGGAGGUAUGGCUGUUUCAAUAUUCUAGACCAGCGGUUCUCAACCUCUGGGUUGUGGGGGUUGCAAGGAUGGCAUAUCAGAUAUCGUGCAUCUCAGAUAUUUACACUAAGAUUCAUAACAGUAGCAAAUUUACAAUUACGAAGUAGCAGCAACAUUAUUUUAUGGUUGAGGGUCACUACAACAUGAGGAACUGUAUUAAAAGAUCUCAGCAUUAGGAAGGUUGAGAACUGUUGCUCUAGACCUAAAUACUCUUUAAUCUUCAUUUCUCCAAGAUAAAAGCAGGAAUGGCACGUGCUUUCCCUACUUUCGAGAACCAAACCAUAACUUAUGAGUCGCUGACAGGGUUGAAGAGAUAGAUGUAAAUUCUGUUUCCUCUCCUUCACACACUGCUGUUUGACCAAAACUAAGGGAGUUGCUGAAGGAGUUGGCAACCUGAAUUCUCCCCCAGGAUCUAGGUUCUGAUGGAUAAUUUUAUACACAGUAGUCUUUCUUGGACUUUGAUUUACUCAGUUUCAAUUUAAUUCAUUCUUAAGGCUUUAGUCACCCUUAGGCCUCAGGGGUUCUUUAAAAGAAUCUGCUUUGGGCGUCACAGUCAAGGAAGAAGAAAGAAUUUUCUAGGUGGAAGGGCCCUGCAUAAAGCCAGUGUAUAUCAGUGAAUUAAGUGUCUUCCCAUGAACACAAUCAGGGGAUCUUUUUUUUUUUUUUUAAUUUUCUCUAUGUCUUAAAAAAACUAAUAUGAGAUUAACAGUCACUUAUUACAAAAAAGGUAGAUGUGUCUUGUUACAUGCAGAGUUUUUAAAAGUUAGACUUUGUACUUAAUGAUGAAGAACAGUGUUCAGACAAUCAAUAGUCAUUAAAAGUAGCUAAGGGGACACUGAUGGAACUGAGAUUUUCUUUUUUUGAGGUCAUUUUGCUGUUAUGACAGUGCAGGCUGAAACAGUGAUCAGUAUAAUGUGUGGACUCAUUUUCUUGUGACGGCCCUAGAGAGAACCAUUUUGGUGUGAUUACUAAUAAUAUAAUUUUGUGUUCACAAGGGUGUUUCUGCAAUGACAAUAGAUUACUCAGUUGUCCUAAAUGGAAAUAUUGUUUUGUCUGGAUUCUUCAUUUUAUUAUUUUGGUUUUUAUUUUUUAUCUUUACUUUACUUUUUGAGAAAUGAUGGUCCAUAGAAGAGAAAUGACUUCCCAAUCCACUCAGAACCCGACCAGCUGCCAAAGUCCUUGUCUUUGUACCUGGGAAGGAAGGAGAGGGGACCAUAGUGAGAGGAUGGUUCCCUUCUCUUCUCCUCUCCUCUCCUCUCCUCUCCUCUCCUCUCCUCUCCUCUCCUCUCCUCUCCUCUCCUCUCCUCUCCUCUCCUCUCCUCUCCUCUCCUCUCCUCUCCUCUCCUCUCCUCUUCUCUUCUCUUCUCUUCUCUUCUCUUCUCUUCUCUCCCAUGAAGUAAUUCCUCAGCAGGAGCCAGUCCUCACCCCCAUCCUUCUUGAUUUCCUGGAAAGUUAUCAGUAAUGGCUUAGUGCCAGUGGCUAUGACAGAGAUGGGGUGUGAACAUUACCGGAACCUAGAGAAGAAAGCAUUUCGUGUUUUUUUUUUUUUCUGUAGUCAAGAGAACAAGCCCAGAGGGAGCCACACCAUCUAUUAAUGUAAUUAGGUCUUGUUUGCACUUCCUUAGCCAGGACCAGCGUUGACUUAACUCACUACCUUUGGAGGUAAAUGAUGGAGGUAUCGUCAUUAACCUUAUCCAGCUGAGAAAACAAGUUCCUUUCAGAUGAUUGACUUGGUUUAGGCUCCCCACCUAAGCAUCAGUAAUGAGACUAAAGCUUAGUCUUACAUUUCCUUGCUUAGCAUCCCCUAUAUCUCUUAUUUCCUGCAGUCUGCUUUGAGGCAUUUCCAGUGCACAGUCCCCAUAAGAAAUGUCUUCUUGACAUUCAAGCAACUACAUUCUGAUGUUAGAACCCACGGUAGAUUUAUCUUCCCUUGGCUCUGUGGAUAGUGGUAUUAGAAUAUAGUUCAUGAUCAACCAGAGACUAUUCUACAAACACCACCACCAUGUAAUGAGUGUAUGGAUGAAGGAUAGGGUAUUUUAUCAGGAGAGAAGACUUUUGCCUUUAAAAUAGUUUCUGGGAUGUGAAGAGUAAGAAUGGGCUGUGCACAGCAGCUAACUGUGCAGUGCUUGCAAAUCACUGACCUGUGACUUGCAGAAUCCUAUUUUAGAAAGAUUUGUACUGUUAAACUGAAGUUCCUUAUUUGGAACUCACAGCAUCCCUGAGCAGUAAGAAUCCAUCUCUUGACAAGAUAUGUAGGUUCAUCCAUUAUCAUAGAUGCAGAAUGGAUGCAGGGUCAGGAACCCCAGAGAAGGUCUCAAACUGUAGCUGACCCAUGAGUAAAGCACUUUUCCAAAGGGGGAGGGUGUUCAAUGUUCUUAAAUGACAAAUUUGUGAUGGCAUUAAUUAGUGUGCCGAAACUUCUAAAGCCACUAACUAGAUCUUCUUGUUUUUUUCUGUGAGUGCUGUGGUAACCUAGUGUGUGUAUACAGAAGUGGGGCAGGCAACUUAGAAACCCUUUAUCGAUAUGCUGUGCUAUCAUAUGACAACCUUGGGCUCCACGGUGUAAAUGAGGGGCUAGGUGCCUUCCAGCCUUCAAGAGAUACAGGUUGCCCUUUCCCUGGAGUUUGCAGUCACUCUACAUUUCAGAAUACGGAACUGGUGAGAUGGGACAAAGGUCGUGAGAAUCUGAGGUGAGAGCAUCCCAGCACAUCAUGUUAUAUGAAAGUGUCCUUCAUGAUGCUGCCCACUGGUGCACAAAACGUAAUAUUUUACAAAAUAUUUGCACAACCACUGUGUCUUUUGGUAUGUUGGGCAUUCAGAUACGGGCCUUUAAUGAAGUACUAUGAAAAACUGCAAGGGGGUACCUGCAAAUAUUGGGAAGACAAAGCGAAAGGACCCACCCCUGUCCCCCAUGAGGAGGAGAGAGAAACCUCCAUGGAGUAGAGGCCACUCUGACGCGAAAGCAGGAGGCUUUGGAACCCACAGGAGAAGGUGAUUUUCCUCAGCUGCCUCACCUGGGCCAGGCAGGCCGGUGGGCCUUCGAGAGUCAGAAGUGUAUAGAGGAAAAACACAGACUCCCCAGACACAGAACUGACUCUUGUUGGGAAACAACAGUAAGCAUUACUCAGCCCCUGGAAAGAGGCCUUUUCUGCAGCCAGGCAAGGGAAGCCCAAGAAGACCUCACUCAACUUGAUAUUGAACUUGCCAGGGGUGUUGAAGCAGAAAAGAUGUUUAAUGUGGCCUUUUGCUUUGAUCGUUCAGACAGGCAGAGACCCAUGAAAUCCUGGAGCUAAGAGACUUUGAAAUAUCCCACUCUCUUCCUAAUGCUCCGAUUCCCUUCCCAGCCUCCUUAUUAGGGCACCACAGCCAACAGCCAGCAUGUGCGUCUGUGACCAUGCUCUCUGGCCUUCAAGAAGACUGUCUAGUAUCUAAAGAUCACCCCUCUUCCCCUCACCCAGAGUGCCAGUCAUUGUGUACAGAGCAAAGCUAUGAGAAGCAUACAGGAGACACACCGAUAAGACUUCAAACCCUAGUGAAAACACAGGGUUUUGAAGUGGAAAAGUCCUCUUGACCACACUAAAGUCUUAGUCAGGGUUUCUGUUGCUGUUUUAAAACACCAUUGACCAAAGUCAAUUUGGGGAGAAAGGAUUUACUUUAUCUCAUACUUCUAGAUCAGAGUUUAUCACUCAAGGAAGUCAGGGCAAGAACUUGAGGCAGGAACCUAGAGGCAGGAGCUAAUCCUUGGAGGAAUGCUGCUUGCUUCCCAUAGUUUGUGAAACCUAUAUUCUUAUAGACUUGGGACCACCAGCUCCAGGGUUACCACCACAGUGAGCUGGGCCCUUCCCACAUUCAUCAUCAACCAAGAAAAUGUCCCAUAAGCUUGCCCACAGGAUAAUCUGAUAGAAGCAUUUUCUCUGUUGAGGUUCCCUCCAUCUUCCCAAAUUACUCUGGCUUGUGUCACGUUGACGUAAAAAUUGCUGGCACACUAGAUGUUCAGAAGAAUCUGUGAGUAUAGGUGCUAUAGACAAGAUUAUGUUUGGGGUGAAACAAAAGGUAAGAUUUCUAAAGUGUCCUUUUGAGAGAGUGGAAAGAGUGAAUGUAGUUUCUAGAGGAAGAAACCAACUUGGGCAAGACUCAGUUGAAGGGAAUUUUGGGCUCUGACGGUGCCUACGGGGAGAUAGGCAGGUUAGAUACAAGAGGGAAGGAAGGGCUUACAGUUGAAAAAUAGGCAAGCAGGAUAUCUCAGGAGGCCUGAAUGGCAGCGAAGAGACUCUGGAGAUAACCGGGAGCCCCAGGAAGCUCUUGAGCACACAGAAGGUGUGACUGUAGUUCACUCUGGGUGUCAUGCAGAAACUCAAGAUAGCAUCAGGGACACAGGAAGAACUGGGGCGUGGGGUGUGGACUUCUCUGUGUCUCAACAGUCAGGGCAGGCUCUGGACUCGAGACCUUCCUUUCUAGUUUUCCACUGAGAACCCAGGACUUGAAGCAAAGCUGGGUCUUUGAGGUAUGUCUGAAGAGCUGGUUAUACUUCUCUCAGGAGACGAUGGGAACAAUUUUGAUUCAUUUCUCUUUUUAAUAUGAGGCUCUUUAUACGCAAUUCACACAGUUCAGAAGGGGUACUGGAAACCCAGGCUGCUGUUCUGUGUAUUCACAGGUAUCCCCUCUACCCCCCAUAUUUGAAAGGGAAAGAUACUAUGAUGCAGCCUCCUCUCAGAGAGCCUUUGGUAAAGUGUUUGCUGUCCACAUGUCUACACUUGCCUCACUUCCUCUGAUAGCAAUGUUGCAGCCUACACUCCCACUCUGCUUGCACCGUGCUCUUCCCUCCCUCCCUACGGUAUUUCCUGCAUCCCUGUGAUGAUACCACGACACCUAGAAGACAUCGGGCUGCUGCAGAGUGGUUCAGCCGUGUUGGAAAGGGAACAGGGAUAACUUGCUCCAGGAGAAAGCAACAAAGUGUUCCAGAUCUGUCUCACGGCCCAGCACUUUCGGCUCAACAGUGGGAUUGUGGUCUUGAGUUUGGUUUCUACGUGUGGACAAAAGGAUGCUCCGAACCUUGGUAGCAAGCAUUGAUUGCCGUCAGAUUUUUUUCUCUGAUGUUGAAGAUUAACACCUUUGCACUAUGGUUAUGUUCACUAUGGAUUUGUAGGUGGCAAUGAAUCUAAUUCUCUUUAAAGGCAUUACGUGAUUGUUUUAUGGUGUAGUGCUGACAUAAUUGUAAAGAGAGAAUCUCUAUUGGUUAUCAUUAAUAUGAUGAUUGAGGUAAAGCAGUUUCUGGGGGGUAUUCCUUUUCUUAAUUUUUGUACCCCCCCAUCUAUGUUGUCAACUGGCUAGUCUCAGCCUCUCGCCCAAGGGAAAGUCUUUGAUAGCUCUCCUCUGAACAUUUUCAUUUGGGUUGAUUUCAUGUAACUGUUAAUUCAUUAUUCAUGUACUUAUCCAACUUAGUAAUGGAUAGUUUAAACCCUCAAAAAGUAGAAGGCCAAUUCAGUGCAUUCUCUUUCCUCUUUGCCCUUUUGUUUCCUUCCCAAAGACGUUUGCAUUUCCUUUUGUUUGGUGUGUGGUUGUCUGGGAUGUUUUCCUUCCUUAUCCAUCUUACACGGGGAGAAGCAGAGCUAUUCACACGGACUUCUCUGGGGGCACUAGUUCUUACUCCUUUUUCUCCUCAGAGUGUAAAAGCCCUGCUUCUAAAUGCCAGAAGGUGUCAUCUAGUGCAGGCAAACCCAGAGAGACCCCUGACCUCUAGCCUGACCCCACUUGAAGAUUACCUGAAGGCACUGAGCUCGCUGUUGGCUUUGACACUUAAAUGCUGCUUUAUGCAGUCUCUUAGAGGAAUCUAAGCUCUCAGAUUUUUGUGCCAAUUCUGCAAGAUCUUGGUGGGGCAUACAGUUGUGUAUCAUGAGGAAGUCAUAGUAUUCUUUUUCAUUAUUUCUAGAGGCUCUCCUCUGUGCAUGCUGGUUUCUGGGAAGGGCAUCUAAGGCCCAUUUGGUAAAGCAGUCUCUUCCAAACAGAAAAGGUACCUUCCAUUUGUGAGCAUCAUGACCUUCAGUACUGGGUCAUUGAACAAUCCCCCCAAGACCAGCAGCCUGGAACUUCAAAGUUUAACCACUUCUUGCCCAUAGUCCUGUGGGCUUCUCCAGAGAUAGCAAUAAGUCAGUAUAAAUCGAACUCUAACUAUCUUGAUAGUGGCAGAUGUAUGAAAGCCUGCAUGGUGGGGAAAAUAUAUGCAGAUGCCCUGCUGGAGAAGAACUCAGGUUCGAACCUACUGAAAUGCUAAGCAAAGUAUGUAAAAGAUAAAAAUAUAAAAAAAAAAGUUACCCAUG